UGUAAGGAAUUCCGAAAGAAGCAGAAAUAAAAGGCAUUGGUUCAAAGUCCGUUUAUUCAGACACUUCAGAAAGCACACAUACACGGGAUGGCAAGACUACCCGCUCCCGCCUAAGCUACAGGUUAUAAACGUUUAAAAACCCCUCCCC